CCUACGGGGGGCAGCAGUGAGGAAUAUUGCGCAAUGGGCGAAAGCCUGACGCAGCGACGUCGCGUGAGGGAUGAAGGUCUUCGGAUCGUAAACCUCUGUCAGCAGGGAAGAACGGUCACUGUGCUAAUCAGCAGUGAAUUGACGGUACCUGCAAAGGAAGCACCGGCUAACUCCGUGCCAGCAGCCGCGGUAAUACGGAGGGUGCGAGCGUUAAUCGGAAUUACUGGGCGUAAAGCGCUCGUAGGCGGUAUGUCAAGUCAAGGGUGAAAGCCCCGCGCUCAACGUGGGAACUGCCUUUGAAACUGGCAAACUGGAGUGUGGGAGAGGAUAGUGGAAUUCCAGGUGUAGGAGUGAAAUCCGUAGAUAUCUGGAGGAACAUCAGUGGCGAAGGCGACUAUCUGGCACAUAACUGACGCUGAGGAGCGAAAGCGUGGGUAGCAAACAGGAUUAGAUACCCCAGUAGUC
rnacentral:rRNA from 1 species